GUGGGGAAUCUUGCGCAAUGGGCGAAAGCCUGACGCAGCCAUGCCGCGUGAAUGAUGAAGGUCUUAGGAUUGUAAAAUUCUUUCACCGGGGACGAUAAUGACGGUACCCGGAGAAGAAGCCCCGGCUAACUUCGUGCCAGCAGCCGCGGUAAUACGAAGGGGGCUAGCGUUGCUCGGAAUUACUGGGCGUAAAGGGCGCGUAGGCGGACAGUUUAGUCAGAGGUGAAAGCCCAGGGCUCAACCUUGGAAUUGCCUUUGAUACUGGCUGUCUUGAGUGUGGGAGAGGUGAGUGGAACUCCGAGUGUAGAGGUGAAAUUCGUAGAUAUUCGGAAGAACACCAGUGGCGAAGGCGACUCACUGGCCCAAUACUGACGCUGAGGCGCGAAAGCGUGGGGAGCAAACAGGAUUAGAAACCCUAGUAGUCC
rnacentral:rRNA from 1 species